AAAUUGAUUCUGUUGAACUCA
rnacentral:miRNA from 1 species